CUUCACAGAGCUUAGAGAGCUGGAUCAAGAAUUUGCUGAGCAGAGAGAAAAUACACAUGUCAGGAAACAGCAGGCUCCGUGAGGAAAAGUCAUUUCUAAAAGCUCUGUGCUGACACAGGGGUGCUGGUUCCUCUGUAAGAGUCUAUUGCUUGGUUGGGGUUAUUUCUUCAGCUGAAGUGGGCUUGAAAGGAGCCUCCAAUCAAGCUCAUCCAUGGCCUCUAGAUGCAUCUGGAUGAUUGUGAUUUCUUUCACAUCACGUGGACUGAGAGCUCAGUCUGUGAAUCAGCCAGAAGAUCAGGUGAAUGUUGCAGAAGGGGAUCCUCUGACUUUGAGAUGUACUUAUUCAGUUUCUAGGAGUCCUUAUCUCUUUUGGUAUGUCCAAUAUCCCAACCAAGGCCUCCAGUUUCUUCUAAAAUACAUCUCAGGGGACAGCCUGGUGAAAGGCAGCUACGGUUUUGAGGCUGAAUUUAAUAAGAGCCAAACCUCUUUCCACCUGAAGAAACCAUCUGCUCUUUGGAGUGACUCUGCUCUGUACUUCUGUGCUGUGAGUGACACAGUAAUGGAGGCUGCAGGGGAAGUUGAACAGAAAACCUGAGGAUA